rnacentral:tRNA from 1 species
UCCCUCGUGGUCCAGUAGCUAAGACCCUGCACUUCCAGUGCAGGGGGCAGGGUUCAAUCCCUGGUUAGGGAA